rnacentral:rRNA from 1 species
UACGUAGGGUGCAAGCGUUAAUCGGAAUUACUGGGCGUAAAGCGUGCGCAGGCGGUUCGCUAAGACAGAUGUGAAAUCCCCGGGCUUAACCUGGGAACUGCAUUUGUGACUGGCGGGCUAGAGUAUGGCAGAGGGGGGUAGAAUUCCACGUGUAGCAGUGAAAUGCGUAGAGAUGUGGAGGAAUACCGAUGGCGAAGGCAGCCCCCCGUGGGCCAAUACUCGACGGCCUCAUGCACGAAAAGCGUGGGGGAGCAAACAGGU